rnacentral:rRNA from 1 species
CCUACGGGAGGCAGCAGUGGGGAAUUUUGGACAAUGGGCGCAAGCCUGAUCCAGCAAUGCCGCGUGAGUGAAGAAGGCCUUCGGGUUGUAAAGCUCUUUUGUCAGGGAAGAAACGGUGGAGGCUAAUAUCCUUUGCUAAUGACGGUACCUGAAGAAUAAGCACCGGCUAACUACGUGCCAGCAGCCGCGGUAAUACGUAGGGUGCAAGCGUUAAUCGGAAUUACUGGGCGUAAAGCGUGCGCAGGCGGUUUUGUAAGUUUGUCGUGAAAUCCCCGGGCUCAACCUGGGAAUGGCGAUGAAGACUGCAAGGCUAGAAUCUGGCAGAGGGGGGUAGAAUUCCACGUGUAGCAGUGAAAUGCGUAGAGAUGUGGAGGAACACCGAUGGCGAAGGCAGCCCCCUGGGUCAAGAUUGACGCUCAUGCACGAAAGCGUGGGGAGCAAACAGGAUUAGAUACCCUGGUAGUCCACGCCCUAAACGAUGUCUACUAGUUGUCGGGUUUUAAUUAACUUGGUAACGCAGCUAACGCGUGAAGUAGACCGCCUGGGGAGUACGGUCGCAAGAUUAAAACNCAAAUGAAUUACGGCGAGACGNGCGACGACGACGACGAGGGAGAG